rnacentral:lncRNA from 12 species
UCAGAAUUUCUCCUGUUGGCGGGUAGAAUUAUUUCUUUCCUUCAGGCCAUCUGUUGCUGUGGGUACUGCACAAAAGAGAAUCUGCUUGUCAUUUCCCAUAAAAACGAUGAGCUAUGAGUGUCAUUGGCAUUGGUUUCUUACUAACGUAAUCAUUACAAUAUAACUGUUUCUCUCUUUGGAUACACAGUCACUUCAUAUCUCUCCCACAUGCUUCUCAUCACUCUAUUUUUGAGUUCAGCUCCUCAAAGGUUUGGUCAACUAAAUCCUUCUCUGAGGUAUCAUGAGACAUCUUGUACAAUCGUGUAUUCUGACGUCUUUGGUGUCUGAUACACCUGGAUUUGAAUCUUGGCCUCAUAAUCACUUGCUCGUUGUACAAACUUGGCCAUUUUAUGUAAUCCAUCUAUGCCUCUAUUCACUCCUCAAAAUAACUAAAAUACACUUUACACUUCAUGCCAUGGGCUUGUUUCAAGGAUCAAAUGAGACAAUCGCUACAAGGCUCAGUGCCUAACACACAGUACAACAAAUGACAGUGGUUGUAACUGUAGCUACAUAGCAAUCUGUAAUAGAUUCAAAGAAAAUGCUUUGACUCUCCUAAAAAUUCAGAUGAAUAUGCUCUGAGAUUGACAAUGAGCAAAGAGUAUCUAAAGGAAGAGACUUUGAGGUCUGAUGGUCGUCGUUGAACUUCAUCCUCCCCUUAAAGAUUUAACACUAAUUAGUGCAGCUCCACAUCAUCCCUGAGUGAUGGGAGGGUCUCCAUCCAUUGCCAAUUGUCAAUAUCAGAGGACCAGAGCUUGAUUUAAUCAAGAGAGCAACUGGAGAUGCAAAUGGAAAAGUUAGGUUUGGCAUGUUCCAAGGCUUCAUUUGUCCAGCUGAAAAGGUCAUUCAGUGGAAUCAAAUCCUAAGUAUAGUCCUAGCUGUGUUCAGGAAGGAGAAAUGUAAUCUGACUGUUCUGUUCUCAGGCACUCAUCUCAUUCUGAACCACAUGUGCCAUGGGAUGGUGGACAAAGUCAAUGUCUUUGGUCUUGUUAAUAGUUGCCCUUGGGCCUCCCAGAAAAACCUUGAAGCCCUGAGUUCACAACUUUGCUGGAGAUUGACAGGUGGAAGAAGAUGUUCAAGUGAUGAACAUGAAGAGAAACAAAUCCCUUUAAGGAUGGAUGGCAUGAACCAGCUUCACCAGCAGCAAGGCAUUUCAUUUCACAGUGUUUCACUAAUGUGGGAAUCUUGAAGCAUAGUGUUGACAG